rnacentral:lncRNA from 1 species
CGGGGCGGCCCCGCUCCGGCAGCGGCGGCGGCUCCUGCGGGCAGCGCUGGGCUGGUAGGGCGAGGAGUGGCAGCCGCCGGGCGGAGAGAGAUGCGCGCACACACCAGCGCGGAGAGAGAGAGGGAGGAUGGAUGGAGCGAUGCACAGAGCCAAAAGGACGUAGAGACACCCAGCAGGAAAGGGAGAAAGAGAGAGGGGAAAUGCUCAGAGCUGACGAGAACUGCACGGUGAUCAGUGGAAAGGGGAGGAGAGAGAGGCAGAAUUGAGGGACAUCUCUCAGGGGAGACGGACACUUGCAAGGGAAGAGCGGGUGAGGGAGGCUGCGAAGACGCUCUAAUCUGAUUAACGGGAGAGCGAGCCCGGAGAGGAGCGGCGGCGGCAGCAGCCACAGCGGGAGGCAGGUGGCACCUCCUCAGUCUCUUAGAGCUCCGUGACCGAGUGCAGACAGAGAAGAAAAAGUCACCUGGAAACCUCUCUCCACCUCCCUCCUUCCCAUCCCGUUUGUCUGGGGAGUCCCAUGCCUGCCGUUAUCUGGGAUGGCAAAGCCUGAGAGCUGGCACAGAAAGAAAUCGGGGCUCCUUUAUAUGCACUGUACGUAGGAGGGGGAAAAAAAAUCCCCCCCGUGAGGCUGUCAAGGUCCUCAGUAUACAAUUUUCUGUCUAUCUCGGCGCCUCUCACCAAGCCGCCCCCUCCCUUGCGUGUGACGCAGAUGUGCUCUGGGGCCGUCAGUGUGAAGAGACAGAGAGAAAAGGAGAUGCUUCAAGCUUCGUCAUGCAAGAAUGGACAACUUCUGACUUCUGACUUCUGACUUCUGACUUCAUUCUCUUUCUGGAAAUCCUAACAAGAAAAUACAUGUAGUUUUUCUCUUGGGGAUUUCUGACUGCCAUUUUAAUUUUAAAGUAACUUUAAUGACAAUGAAAUCUUUAUUUACAAUGCAUUUCAUUCUUUCACAUCUAUCACAAUCAGAUAAUGCAUUAAAAAGAAGCAAGCAAAAGUUACAUUUUUUUUUUCAGAAAUAUAUAAUUUCUUUAAAAGAAUUCUUCAGCACGGAAUGCAGCUCUUGUCACUUCUCCUGUCCUUCCUUUUGAAAAGUAAAGAUGCGUCUUUGUCUAUGAUUAUGUGUACAAAUGGUCUUUCGAUUGUUUACAUUCAGUGUCUGACCAAAUUAAAAAACUCAAAUAUUUGAGAAUGGUUUUUUUAAUCCACCUAUUCACACUUUCAUUUGAACUGAGUGUCCCAAAGUGUAUACUGCUGGGGCUUUUUCCAUUGGAAAAAAAAAAUGCUGUGUGGUUUAGAUUAGAGUAUCAUAAUUGUAGGAACAGCUUGAUAGUUUUCCAUCCAAAUGUCAUGACACUUAGAGUAAUAACUGUUAACACAACUUAUUCUUGAAGAUGACUAGUGACCGAUUUGCAAAAAGGAGCCAGAAGUGAUUUAGCUGUUAAACAUUGCAGAUGAACAAGAGUGAAAAUCUUUCCCUUGUCUGAAUUGGAGAGAGAUGGAUUUG